rnacentral:misc_RNA from 1 species
UCAAACUUGGUCAUUUAGAGGAAGUAAAAGUCGUAACAAGGUUUCCGUAGGUGAACCUGCGGAAGGAUCAUUACUGAAUAACGUGUGGUCGGGGGGGUUGUUGCUGGCAUUCCCUGUAAUGCAUGUGCACACCUCUGCCACUCUGUCAUUCACCCCCCUCCACCUGUGCAUUCUCUUGUAGGCCAGAUUGCCAUUUUAAAUGCUCGGUGCUCUCUCAUCUGAACACUUUGUUUUUUGGGACUUGCUGUUGCAGCUCUGCAUUGUGACGGCUCCUCCUGUAUUUUGGCCCAUCUGGUCUAUGCAUCUUUACCCAAACCCUCUCACGUUUUGUAUGUAUGGUGUUCACGGGCUUUGUCCCGUUACAUUAGCUUUUUUUAAAGCAUGUAUGCACACAACUUUCAACAACGGAUCUCUUGGCUCUCGCAUCGAUGAAGAACGCAGC